AUUUGCAGAUGGAUGAACCGAGAAGAGAGAGAGAGAGAGAGAGAGAGAGACGGGAAGGAGAGUCGAGAGAGAAUGUAGAGGUGGAAAAUGGAACUAGAGUUCCGGCGACGACAAGAUACAACGAGGUUGAACGGUGGCUCUUCGCUUUUAGGGUUUUGCGUUUGGUUGAUUUGGAUAUGCUAGGCCUAUUCUUCAAGCAGGAAAUGGAGAUUUCUUUGAUUGGGCUCCAGAAUGCUGGCAAAAAUUCUCUUACGGGUGGAUAUAGCGAGGACAUGAUCCCAACUGUGGGAUUCAAUAUGCGCAAGGUAACUAAAUGAAAUGUGACAAUAAAGCUGUGGGAUCUUGGAGGUCAACCCCGGUUUCGCAGUAUGUGGGAGAGGUAUUGCCGUGAAGUUUCUGCUAUCGUAUCAUGAUAACCUGAGCAUUUCAAAGGGUGAACUCCAUGAUCUUUUAAGCAAACCAGCAUUGAGUGGUAUUCCUUUGCUGGUUUUGGGCAACAAAAUUGAUAAGGCUGGUGCCCUUUCUAAGCAAGCUUUGACAGAUCAAAUGGAUUUGAAGUCUAUAACAGAUAGAGAAGUGUGUUGCUUUAUGAUAUCUUGCAAGAAUUCAACAAACAUCGACUCAGUCAUCGAUUGGCUUGUGAAGCACUCAAAAUCAAAAAGUUGAAGACUUUAUCAAAGCAAAUUAGAAAGAAAAUGGACCGCCAUUUUCGUGUGCUUGGUUUGUGUCGAGUUUGCCGGACUUGAUAUAGAAUAGAGAGAUGUUAUGAGUGAAUUUGAGUAUUGGUGUGUCCAAUGGUAUACCUUAUUAUUAUUUGCUGUCAUUCUUUCUUUCCUGAUCCUGGUUGUUAUGUUGUAUAUCUAUUUCUGCUACUUUAUGAUGUUCAAUGAGUUCUGUUCUAUUAAUAUGUUUUCAUGA